AAACAGGUACCUAAAGUGGACAUUUAUUAUUAUAUAUUUUAUGUUAUUCUCUUUAUUGUUCCAAUUUUAUUGGAUUGCCUAUUAGGAGGAGUAUAUCUGAUUUAGGACAGAUUGAAAUGCCUGGCUGCUGAUGCUUUUAUGGUGGGUAUAUCUCAAGCAAUUGAUGAAUUUUAGGUUCAGAUUUAAAGGAUGAGGAGCUUUUAGGAGGUUGAAUUAGGGUGA
rnacentral:misc_RNA from 1 species